rnacentral:tRNA from 1 species
ACUAUUUUGGCAGAAAAGUGUUAUGGGUUUAGAAUCCAUUAAUGUAAGUAUUUAUCUUACAGAUAGUG